rnacentral:piRNA from 1 species
UGAGAGACCUUUCUCUGCUGGGGAGCUUAA